rnacentral:rRNA from 1 species
GGUAGCAUAUCAAUAAGCGGAGGAAAAGAAACUAACAAGGAUUCCCUAGUAACGGCGAGUGAAGCGGGAAGAGCUCAAAUUUGAAAUCUGGCGGUCUCAGCCCGUCCGAGUUGUAAUCUAGAGAGGUGUUUUCCGUGCCGGACCGUGUACAAGUCCCUUGGAACAGGGCGUCAUAGAGGGUGAGAAUCCCGUCCAUGACACGGACUACCGGUGCUCUGUGAUACACCUUCAAAGAGUCGAGUUGUUUGGGAAUGCAGCUCAAAAUGGGUGGUAAAUUCCAUCUAAAGCUAAAUACAGGCGAGAGACCGAUAGCGAACAAGUACCGUGAGGGAAAGAUGAAAAGAACUUUGGAAAGAGAGUUAAACAGUACGUGAAAUUGUUGAAAGGGAAACGCUUGAAGUCAGUCGCGUCUGCCAGGACUCAGCCUUGCUUCUGCUUGGUGCAUUUCUUGGUGGAUGGGCCAGCAUCGAUUUUGAUUGCCGGAAAAGGGCGGGAGGAAUGUGGCAGCUUUUGCUGUGUUAUAGCCUUCCGUCGUACACGGUGGUUGGGAUCGAGGACUGCAGCACGCCUUUGGUCGGGGUUCGCCCACGCCACGUGCUUAGGAUGCUGGCGUAAUGGCUUUAAACGACCCGUCUUGAAACACGGACCAAGGAGUCUAACAUGCCUGCGAGUGUUUGGGUGCAAAACCCAGGCGCGUAAUGAAAGUGAAAAGUUGGGACUCUUUAGUGAGGCACCGACGCCCGACCCUGAAGUCUUCUGACGGGUUUGAGGCAGAGCAUGUAUGUUGGGACCCGAAAGAUGGUGAACUAUGCCUGAAUAGGGUGAAGCCAGAGGAAACUCUGGUGGAGGCUCGUAGCGAUUCUGACGUGCAAAUCGAUCGUCAAAUUUGGGUAUAGGGGCGAAAGACUAAUCGAACCAUCUAGUAGCUGGUUCUGCGUCUUUUCUCCCCCGCCGGGGGA